rnacentral:tRNA from 1 species
ACCUUGGUAGCUCAGUUGGUUAGAGCGCUCGGCCUGCUGUCUUUACAGCGGUACACGUGCUGAGAGGUCGCCGGUUCGAAUCCGGAGCAAGGUGCCA